rnacentral:rRNA from 1 species
UACGAAGGGGGCUAGCGUUGCUCGGAAUCACUGGGCGUAAAGCGCACGUAGGCGGAUUGUUAAGUCAGGGGUGAAAUCCUGGAGCUCAACUCCAGAACUGCCUUUGAUACUGGCAAUCUCGAGUUCGGGAGAGGUGAGUGGAACUGCGAGUGUAGAGGUGAAAUUCGUAGAUAUCGCAAGAACACCAGUGGCGAAGGCGGCUCACUGGCCCGGUACUGACGCUGAGGCACGAAAGCGUGGGGAGCAAACAGGG